rnacentral:rRNA from 3 species
AGACCCGAAACCCGGUGAUCUAGCCAUGGGCAGGUUGAAGGUUGGGUAACACUAACUGGAGGACCGAACCGACUAAUGUUGAAAAAUUAGCGGAUGACCUGUGGCUGGGGGUGAAAGGCCAAUCAAACCGGGAGAUAGCUGGUUCUCCCCGAAAGCUAUUUAGGUAGCGCCUCGUGAAUUCAUCUCCGGGGGUAGAGCACUGUUUCGGCUAGGGGGCCAUCCCGGCUUACCAACCCGAUGCAAACUGCGAAUACCGGAGAAUGUUAUCACGGGAGACACACGGCGGGUGCUAACGUCCGUCGUGAAGAGGGAAACAACCCAGACCGCCAGCUAAGGUCCCAAAGUCAUGGUUAAGUGGGAAACGAUGUGGGAAGGCCCAGACAGCCAGGAUGUUGGCUUAGAAGCAGCCAUCAUUUAAAGAAAGCGUAAUAGCUCACUGGUCGAGUCGGCCUGCGCGGAAGAUGUAACGGGGCUAAACCAUGCACCGAAGCUGCGGCAGCGAACGUAUCACCCAAGACAACUUUACGGAGUUGACGAUUGACGGAGCGAAGCGACGUCAAAGCGUUCAUUAAAGUCGAGUUGGCUUAGGGAUACGUUCGUUGGGUAGGGGAGCGUUCUGUAAGCCUGUGAAGGUGUGUCGUGAGGCAUGCUGGAGGUAUCAGAAGUGCGAAUGCU